rnacentral:lncRNA from 1 species
UCAAAUUUCAAUUUCAUGUGUUGUUUCCGUAUAUGUUAUGUUUCAUUGCUCAUGUGUUGUUUUCGUAUAUUUUAGCCGCUCGUCUUGAGCCUACUCAUUUGAUCUGAUAACACCCCAUAUAGCAAUAAAAUUAUACUUUUAUUGCCAUUCAUAACUCUUAACAGACCAAUUAACAGACCGGGUUUUAUACAUCCGACCCAUUAACAGACCAGGUUUUAAAUAAAGAUUGAUUUAUGUCACCAAAAUACAGUUUUUCGUGUAGAUUUUUCACACAAUGAUAUCAAUAUGGUUAACAAACAUAAU